rnacentral:rRNA from 1 species
AUUCCUACGGGAGGCAGCAGUGGGGAAUCUUGGUCAAUGGACGAGAGUCUGAACCAGCGACGCCGCGUGGAGGAUGAAGGCCGAAAGGUUGUAAACUCCUUUUGUGAAGGAAAAAUGGAAGGACUCGAAUAGGGUCCUAUCCUUGAUAGUACUUUAUGAAUAAGCCCCAGCUAACUACGUGCCAGCAGCUGCGGUAAAACGUAGGGGGCGAGCGUUAUCCGGAAUUACUGGGUGUAAAGGGUACGUAGGCGGAUUUGUAAGUUGGGUGUAAAAACUCAGGGCUUAACCUUGAGCUUGUGCCCAAUACUGCAAGUCUAGAGAGCAGGAGAGGGAAGCGGAAUUCCCGGUGUAGGGGUAAAAUCCGUAGAUAUCGGGAGGAACACCAGUGGCGAAGGCGGCUUCCUGGACUGUCUCUGACGCUCAUGUACGAAAGCGUGGGGAGCAAACAGGAUUAGAUACCCUGGUAGUCCACGCCCUAAACGAUGGAUGCUUGGUGUUGGGGGGUAAUUCCCUCGGUGCCGGAGCUAACGCGUUAAGCAUCCCACCUGGGGAGUACGGCCGCAAGGUUGAAACUCAAAUGAAUUGACGGAAU